GUCGGGAUUUGAGGUUGGCCACCUAAGAAGUCAACGUGGAAGCCUUUUUACUCCAAAGACAAUUUUCGUCUCGAGGCUGCCGGCGAGGAAAGUACUUGCCUCUCUCUUUAAAGCUCACUUUCACCAGCAGUGUGCCGCAGCUUGCUUCCAGUCCUGCAGCUGACAGCAGCUGUGACCCUGGAGGAGCACCACGCGCUCCGGCAGCAGCUCCGCCGUGGUGGCGAUGACUUCAUCGCACAAAGUCAUGCAAUCGACGGGGCGCUCGGCCAUGAGCAAGGCGGUGCCGG